rnacentral:rRNA from 1 species
UACGUAGGUGGCAAGCGUUAUCCGGAUUUAUUGGGCGUAAAGGGAACGCAGGCGGUCUUUUAAGUCUGAUGUGAAAGCCUUCGGCUUAACCGGAGUAGUGCAUUGGAAACUGGGAGACUUGAGUGCAGAAGAGGAGAGUGGAACUCCAUGUGUAUCGGUGAAAUGCGUAGAUAUAUGGAAGAACACCAGUGGCGAAAGCGGCUCUCUGGUCUGUAACUGACGCUGAGGUUCGAAAGCGUGGGUAGCAAACAGG